rnacentral:misc_RNA from 1 species
GUUCUCCUCUUCCCUCUCUGGUGGAAUAUUUUAUCACAUUCUAGGUUGUUUUGAAAUAUAUCAUAAAAUAAUCAACCAAUAGGCAAUAGCACUCAAAAUUAAUCAGCAAUUUAAUGAAAGUCUUCUUUAUAUCAUAUUUGUCAAAUUAAGAUUUGAGUUGAGAAUUGAAAUCUUCAUUUUGUAAAUCGAGAAUCGAAUCGAAUCGUAAGAUUCGAUAA